CUGGAUCAGGAUUCCUCUGACCUCGACUCUGACAAUGGCUCAGAAGACGCACAUGAUGGUGGUGGGAUUAGUAGCCUGGAUCAGGAUUCCUCUGACAAUGGCUCAGAAGACGCACAUGAUGGUGGUGGGAUUAGUAGCCUGGAUCAGGAUUCCUCUGACAAUGGCUCAGAAGACGCACAUGAUGGUGGUGGGAUUAGU